rnacentral:rRNA from 1 species
AUACGUAGGGGGCUAGCGUUAUCCGGAAUUACUGGGCGUAAAGGGUGCGUAGGUGGUUUCUUAAGUCAGAAGUGAAAGGCUACGGCUCGACCGUAGUAAGCUUUUGACACUAAGAGACUUGAGUGCAGGAGAGGAGAGUAGAAUUCCUAGUGUAGCGGUGAAAUGCGUAGAUAUUAGGAGGAAUACCAGUUGCGAAGGCCGGUCUCUGGAAUGUAACUGACCCUUAGGCACGAAAGCGUGGGGAGCAAACAGGAUUUGAAACCCUGGGAGUCCACGCCGUAAACGAUGAGUACUAGCUGUCCGGGGUUUCCCCCCUCGGUGGCGCAGCUAACGCAUUAAGUACUCCGCCUGGGAAGUACGCUCGCAAGAGUGAAACUCAAAUGAAUUGGCGGGG